GCAGGAUCCCAGCUGGCUAGAAUCCAUGAUGACAAACAUAGUGCUGUACAUGGUAAACAAUCGUCGAGUUAUAGAUCCACAAAUUCAUAUUGCUUCCAUGUCUACUGAAGCCAUACAGAAUGCACCAUAUAGAAGUAGGAGGAAGUGUAAGGCCAAGAAACUAUAAUGCAUAAAGGAUGGAUAUCAGCACCUGUUGCUUGUUGGAUAAUGAACCCGACGGUCGGAGGAGGAGCAUCUUA